UACGUAGGUGGCAAGCGUUGUCCGGAUUUACUGGGCGUAAAGAGCGCGCAGGCGGCAGUAAGUCGAAUGUGAAAGCCCCCGGCUUAACUGGGGAGGGUCAUUCGAUACUGUCGUCGACUGAAGCAGGAGAGGGAGCGAAUUCCCGGUGUAGUGGUGAAAUGCGUAGAUAUCGGGAGGAACACCAGUGGCGAAGGCGGCUUUCUGGCCUGUUCUUGACGCUGAGGCGCGAAAGCUAGGGGAGCAAACGGG
rnacentral:rRNA from 1 species